rnacentral:rRNA from 1 species
AUUGAACGCUGGCGGCAUGCCUUACACAUGCAAGUCGAACGGUAACAGGUUAAGCUGACGAGUGGCGAACGGGUGAGUAAUGUAUCGGAACGUGCCCAGUCGUGGGGGAUAACUGCUCGAAAGAGCAGCUAAUACCGCAUACGACCUGAGGGUGAAAGCGGGGGAUCGCAAGACCUCGCGCGAUUGGAGCGGCCGAUAUCAGAUUAGGUAGUUGGUGAGGUAAAGGCUCACCAAGCCGACGAUCUGUAGCUGGUCUGAGAGGACGACCAGCCACACUGGGACUGAGACACGGCCCAGACUCCUACGGGAGGCAGCAGUGGGGAAUUUUGGACAAUGGGCGCAAGCCUGAUCCAGCCAUGCCGCGUGCGGGAAGAAGGCCUUCGGGUUGUAAACCGCUUUUGUCAGGGAAGAAAAGGUUCUGGCCAAUACCUGGGACUCAUGACGGUACCUGAAGAAUAAGCACCGGCUAACUACGUG